GAAUGAUUUCUUUGACUGCACAAAUGUGAUUUCUUUUACUGACAUGUUUAGUCAUUGACUUCACAUUUGUGCAGUCAAAGAAAUCAUUCAUCA